GACGAACGCUGGCGGCGUGCUUAACACAUGCAAGUCGAACGGAAAGGCCCUGCUUUUGUGGGGUUCUCGAGUGGCGAACGGGUGAGUAACACGUGAGUAACCUGCCCUUGACUUUGGGAUAACUUCAGGAAACUGGGGCUAUUACCGGAUAGGAGCUCCUGCUGCAUGGUGGGGGUUGGAAAGUUUCGGCGGUUGUGGAUGGGCUCGCUGCUUAUCAGCUUGUUGGUGGGGUAGUGGCUUACCAAGGCUUUGACGGGUAGCCGGCCUGAGAGGGUGACCGGCCACAUUGGGACUGAGAUACGGCACAGAGUCCUACGGGAGGCAGCAGUGGGGAAUAUUGCACAAUGGGCGGAAGCCUGAUGCAGCAACGCCGCGUGCGGGAUGACGGCCUUCGGGUUGUAAACCGCUUUCGCCUGUGACGAAGCGUGAGUGACGGUAAUGGGUAAAGAAGCACCGGCUAACUCCGUG
rnacentral:rRNA from 1 species